AAUCCUGGCGGCGUGCUUACACCUGCAGUCGAACGAACUUCGGGUUAGUGGCGGACGGGUGAGUAACGCGUGAGAUCUGCCUCAGGAGGGGGACCACAGUUGGAAACGACUGCUAAUACCCCAUAUGCCGCGAGGUGAAAUGAAUUUCGCCUGAGGAUGAGCUCGCGUCUGAUUAGCUAGUUGGUGUAAGUAAUGGCUCACCAAGGCAUCGAUCAGUAGCUGGUCUGAGAGGAUGAUCAGCCACACAUGGGACUGAGACACGGCCAGACUCCUACGGGAGGCACCAGAUGGGGAAUUCUCCGCAAUGGGCGAAAGCCUGACGGAGCAACGCCGCGUGAGGGAUGAAGGCCUCUGGGCUGUAAACCUCUUUUAUCAAGGAAGAAGAUCUGACGGUACUUGAUGAAUAAGCCACGGCAUAAUUCCGUGCCAGCAGCACGCGGUAAUACGGGAGUGGCAAGCGUUAUCCGGAAUUAUUGGGCGUAAAGCGUCCGCAGGCGGCCCUUCAAGUCUGCUGUUAAAAAGUGGAGACUUAAACUCCAUCACUGGACAGUGGAAACUGUUGGGCUUGAGUGUGGUAGGGGCAGAAGGGAAUACCCGGUGUAGCGGUGAAAUGCGUAGAUAUC
rnacentral:rRNA from 1 species